AUUUAUGUAGUUUACAACAAAACAUUACACUUUCAUUGUAAAGACAAAUUUUAUUUCAUAAAUA
rnacentral:tRNA from 1 species